UACGAAGGGGGCUAGCGUUGCUCGGAAUCACUGGGCGUAAAGGGUGCGUAGGCGGGUCUUUAAGUCAGGGGUGAAAUCCUGGAGCUCAACUCCAGAACUGCCUUUGAUACUGAGGAUCUUGAGUUCGGGAGAGGUGAGUGGAACUGCGAGUGUAGAGGUGAAAUUCGUAGAUAUUCGCAAGAACACCAGUGGCGAAGGCGACUCACUGGCCCGAUACUGACGCUGAGGCACGAAAGCGUGGGGAGCAAACAGGG
rnacentral:rRNA from 1 species